GAGAGACAGAGAGAUGAAGCAGUUGUACAGAGAUGAAGAUGAAGAAUAAGUCUGACCGAGAAAGCUAUGGUCAGCAGAAAUGUAUAGAGUCCCAGUGAGAGAGAGACGGAAUUGUAGUGGCAGACUGCCUAGGUCAGUGGAAGUAGCAGACCUGAAGGAAACGAACUUCGUUGUGUAGUUAUCUUGGGCACCAUCAAUUGCCAGGUAUAAAAGGGAAGGCAGAAGGGCUCUUACCAGCAAACAAUUCAAAAUGACCUGAAGACAGUCAGCAUUACAUGGAAUGGAUGUGCAAGAGUAGCAGCCAACCAAACCCAUGUCCAGGCUUCCAAGACUGGUGAAGGGAAAGAAAUUAAGAAACCUUAGAUAAAAGACCAAAUCUGAACACUUAAACAGAAUGGACCCCACUAAAGGCCUCCAGGCUUCCAAAGGUCAGAUCUGCAUGGUAUUAAACCAUGUUGUAGAUUAAGUCUACUACCAGCUUAUUGUCAGGAUUAACUCCACAUCAUUCAUGACCAAGCAAUCUUAUGAUGAAAGGCAUCAUGUCUUUAGUUCUCAGACACAAUAUACCUAGGACUACAUUAUCCAAUAUGUUUACUGUAUUUUUUUCAGUCUACAGGUUGUAAUUUCAGGGAAAUUUGGCUGCUUUUUUUGAGCAGGUUGAGAGACAGCUACCUAAUUAUAUUGGUUUUUAUGCUAUCAAGAAGAGCCUCAGUACAUGUUAACCCUUUUAUAUUUAAACUAGCUGUAUCCAACCAAAAUAUUUUACCUGUUUUAUGUUCAAAUCGUCCAAAUUUGGCCCCUCACAUCUGUACCCUACAAUAUCAUUCUAAAAAUAAAAUACUGCAUCAUUAGAAUUUAGAAGCUACGAGAUAAUUCAUGAUUAAUUCAAAACAAUGUGAAGAAAUAAGCAUUACAUUUAACAGAAUAAUCUGAGCACUAAAGAUUUAAUACAACUUGGACAAGUAUCAAACGACAGGAGGGUGUGACCCACAAAUCAGUGCAUUUAGAUAUGAUGUCUUAUGUAGACAAUAAGUCAUCUUGUGAUCAUUAGAUUAUGAUACAUACUGUGUUACUGAUCCAAUGACAGCAGCUGCUACAUGGCUGCUCAACAUGCUAGAAUUAGAAGUCAAAUCCCUCUCAUAUAUCAUAGCAUCUUUAAUAAGUUGCUUGAAAUUAUUCCAUAGCAUCUUUCAUAAGAAAAAUAAUAAGUUCGCAUGAAAAUAACAAUAAAAAUAAUGCAUUAUAGGUGCAGGAACUGCCAAGUGGUAAGAAGCUUGCUUCCCAACCAUAUGGUUCCAGGUUCAGUUCCACUGCAUUGCACU
rnacentral:lncRNA from 1 species